rnacentral:rRNA from 1 species
GUUGUGCCCUUGAGGCGUGGCUUCCGGAGCUAACGCGUUAAGUCGACCGCCUGGGGAGUACGGCCGCAAGGUUAAAACUCAAAUGAAUUGACGGGGGCCCGCACAAGCGGUGGAGCAUGUGGUUUAAUUCGAUGCAACGCGAAGAACCUUACCUGGUCUUGACAUCCACGGAAGUUUUCAGAGAUGAGAAUGUGCCUUCGGGAACCGUGAGACAGGUGCUGCAUGGCUGUCGUCAGCUCGUGUUGUGAAAUGUUGGGUUAAGUCCCGCAACGAGCGCAACCCUUAUCCUUUGUUGCCAGCGGUCCGGCCGGGAACUCAAAGGAGACUGCCAGUGAUAAACUGGAGGAAGGUGGGGAUGACGUCAAGUCAUCAUGGCCCUUACGACCAGGGCUACACACGUGCUACAAUGGCGCAUACAAAGAGAAGCGACCUCGCGAGAGCAAGCGGACCUCAUAAAGUGCGUCGUAGUCCGGAUUGGAGUCUGCAACUCGACUCCAUGAAGUCGGAAUCGCUAGUAAUCGUGGAUCAGAAUGCCACGGUGAAUACGUUCCCGGGCCUUGUACACACCGCCCGUCACACCAUGGGAGUGGGUUGCAAAAGAAGUAGGUAGCUUAACCUUCGGGAGGGCGCUUACCACUUUGUGAUUCAUGACUGGGGUGAAGUCGUAACAAGGUAACCGUAGGGGAACCUGCGGUUGGAUCACCUCCUU